rnacentral:lncRNA from 1 species
ACUGCAGCUCUUGCAUACAGUCAAGAAGUGAUCUAGGAAGAAAUGCCAUCUCUGGGAGCAGAGGGAGAAUCAAUGUCUUUUCAGCUCCUACCCAGGAAUACACCAUCGAAAUAUCAAUUAUAGGGACCCUUACCCCUCGGGAGAGUUGUAAGUGUUAGACUUUGACAUUCUGUGGUCUUCUGAAGGGUCUGGAAGUAAGGGACCUGAGGAGUCUUUUUUUUUUUUUUUUUUAACGUCUAUGUAACUGGAUCAGGAUAAGGGUGUUGUGAACGCUUAGCAGUCUGGUUAAGUUCAAAAUGAGGGGGGAACAAGAGGGAAUCCAGCUCAGCUCUGCCACAGAAUUUUAUUGUUCAGGAGUUCCAUCUUUGCUGCCUGUUUUCUGACAUGUGGGCCGCUUUUGAACCACUGAGAGGGAACCUCCGGGAUCCUAGAGCGGAUCCCCAGGGAGGGAUUCCGGGAAGUCGUCUCUCCAGGCCACUGUGGGCCCCGAUGGUCAGUCAGGCGUCGGACCGCCGAGUAACAGGUCAGUGUCCUGCAGUCCUCCCGGGGUUUGAGUGGCUCCUGGACCAGUGGCCACAGAGCAGAGGGAGCUACGUGCUGUGCGGCUUCCCCGCGACCUGCCUGGCCCCUCGCCCCUCCCUUUUACUCUUUUCCUUCCCUUCCUCCGCUGUGCCACCGGACGUUGCGACUCCCCCGCGACCCUGUGAGCAGGAUGGCAGGUGGGACCAGAGCCCUUCCCCCCAGAGCCGGGUGUCUGGGGCCGGAGGACAGCUAGUCACUGGAGUGACCCCGCCUCGCUCUCCUGACAAGGCCCUUGUCGGGUGCGGGGAAGCGGACGGGGAUGGAGGAGACCUUCCGUUCUCUUGGCCCUGUGCCCUCAGGUCUCCUUAACAGGUGAAGGACACUUAGAAAUUUUAUUUAAAUGUUCUUGAAGUAUUCUCAUGUUGCCUCAGAGAAAAAAGCCAGCUUAGCUGAAAUGCUCUACUCAUGAAAGCUCCUUUCUUUUGGUGUCUAUAUUGCAUUUUCCCCUCCCCGCCCACCAUUUUUCUUGUUUCAAAGAUGAGAGCAAAUGUCCUUUCUUCUUGUUAGCUUUCCUUUGAAGUUAAAAAUGUUAACUCAAAGGUAUCUGAUAACAGCCCCAAAAGGUACUUUGUAUGUAUCUGUAGCCCAAGGAUAAUUUAUUCAGAAAAAAAAUACAUUUAUCCUUUGUUUUUGCCUGAAGUCAAUAUCAGCAGCUUCUGGCUGUGAGGGGAACGUAAUUGGGAAAAGAAAGCACACUGAGGCAAGGACAGGAAAGGAUAAUUCCAGUGUGAGCAAGCCACAGACCAAGAGGGGUUUGCGUGGGACUAGGGGGUUCUCCGUGUUUUGCUAAUGAGGGCAGAGCAGCUUACACCACUUGUUUCUUUGGUAACCAUGUUUCUGGACUCUGGGCAAGAAUUCAUGUGACCUCUGCAUUGUGAGCCUUUUUCAGUGUUGCCAAGCAGCUGCUGUUCAGAGAGACUUGCUAGAACAGCAUCACUUAGAAAUAGUUCAGCUCCUAAGCCAUGGAGGGUACAUUGUCCAUGUCACAACAAACCUAUGACUGAUUUGUGGGGCACCUUUCCCCCACCCACCCAACCAGAACAAGGACAUCAGAGGCAUAAAAAAAUAUACAAACUAAUGAAAGUGAUUACCUGUGGAGGUGGUAAAUGGAAGGGGGACCAGGGUGGAAGCCAGGCUUCUCCAUAGGUCUUCUUAGAGUAUUUUGACCUUAGAAAUGUAUGCAACCUAAUCAAAGACAAAUUUUUAAGUAAAAUGUGUAGAAUAAGUUCUGGGUGCUCUGGGCAUGUUAGAUUCACAGAAAAAUUGUGAAGAUAGUGUGGACAGUUCCCCUGUACCCCACACCCAGUUUCCCUGUUAUCAAUAUCUUCUAUUAUGUAGUACGUUUACCACAACUGUUGAAUCACUCUUGAUUGGUAAAGUCCAUACUUCAUUCAUAUGUCCUUAGUUUGUACCUCAUGUCCUUUUUCUAUUCCAUUGUCCCCUCCAGGGCAUCAUGUUACAUUUAAUUGUCAUGUCUCCAUAGGCUCCUCUUGGCUGUGACCGUUUCUUAGACUUUUCCUUGUUUUUGUUGACCUUGACAAUUUUGAGGAGUACUUGUUAGGUGUUUUGUAGAAUGCCACUCAGUUGGGAUUUGAGUCAUGUUUUUAUCAUUAUUAUAUUCAGGUUAUAGGUAUUUUGGAGAAAGACCACAGAGGUAGGUGAAGUGCCAUUCUCAUCAUAGCAGGGGUGCCUACUGUCAAUUUGACUUGUCGCUGUUGAGACGUAAAACCAUUCAUAAAAUAGAAAAAGGCAGAGAGGGGAUAAUUUGUGUCAUUUGGGUUUGGAGCAAAAGUUUUAUUAGGUUUGGAGACAGAAUUUGGUUUGUUCCCAGGGAAUAAAAGAGAGGCAACAAUCCACCAAGUUCUCUGCAUAUGGGUCUCAAUUUUAAAGAUGGAAUGGGCUAGAGGAGCCCCAUUCUUUGGAGAGGUGAAGGAUCUGUCUGUCACAGUUCCAGAGGAGACAGAGCCUCCCUGUUGCUAAGAUACUAUCAUCAUAGCAACAGCAGCUGCAGCAGUGACAGUGGUGCAGUUGGCAGAACUCCUUUGACCCCAUGUCUCUUCCAACCCUGGUGUGGACUCCUGUGAGUGGUAAGAUGCACCAGUCGAUGAGAUUAUUAUCAUUUUUUCCAUUGUACUCAUUACCAGUUGAAUUUCUGAUUCUUUAGCCUUUACUAUCCUGUACUCCAUCUGCUCUCCCAUCUACAAAACUCUUCAAUGCCUGUCUUGUCUCUCAGUUUAAGGAAAUAUGAUAAAAAAUCUGUUUAAGUAUAGGAACUAUUUAUAUACAUUUAUAUGCCAGGUUCUGUGCUUUACAUACCUUUGUAAAAUAGCCAUUUGAGUCAGGUGUUCAUCCUCAUAGUUCUGUUAUGUAGCUGUGUUGUUGUUCUGACUGAAUAAAAACAUUGGAUCUGGCUGACAUACAAUCGGUGUGUCUGGGGUUCUCAAACAUGUUUGAGAGUCCUGGUUGAGUCUGUAUCACAUAUUGCUUUGGUAGAAGGGAAUAAAUUACAUUUGAAAAGUUUGUUUAUUUCAGGAAUUAAUGCCAGAGGGAUGAACAAGGCAUCCAUUUUG